GAUGAGAACGCAGUGAAAUGCGAUACGUAAUGUGAAUUGCAGAAUUCAGUGAAUCAUCGAGUCUUUGAACGCACAUUGCGCCCCCUGGUAUUCCGGGGGGCAUGCCUGUCCGAGCGUCAUUGCUGCCCUCAAGCACGGCUUGUGUGUUGGGCCUCCGUCCUCCUCCCGGGGGACGGGCCCGAAAGGCAGCGGCGGCACCGCGUCCGGUCCUCGAGCGUAUGGGGCUUCGUCACCCGCUCUUGUAGGCCCGGCCGGCGCUUGCCGACACAUCAAUCUUUUUUCCAGGUUGACCUCGGAUCAGGUAGGGAUACCCGCUGAACUUAAGCAUAUCAAUAAGCGGAGGA
rnacentral:misc_RNA from 1 species